rnacentral:rRNA from 1 species
UACGUAGGGUGCAAGCGUUAUCCGGAUUCACUGGGUUUAAAGGGUGCGUAGGAGGGCAGGUAAGUCAGUGGUGAAAUCCCCGAGCUUAACUUGGGAACUGCCGUUGAUACUAUCUGUCUUGAAUGUUGUGGAGGUGAGCGGAAUAUGUCAUGUAGCGGUGAAAUGCUUAGAUAUGACAUAGAACACCAAUUGCGAAGGCAGCUCGCUACACAAUUAUUGACUCUGAUGCACGAAAGCGUGGGGAUCAAACAGG